AAUUGUUCGCAAUGGGCGCAAGCCUGACGACGCAACGCCGCGUGGAGGAUGAAGAUCUUCGGGUCGUAAACUCCUGUCGAGCGGGACGAACACUUUUCGGGUGAACAGCCCGGGGAGCUGACGGUACCGCUAAAGGACGUCCCGGCUAACUCCGUGCCAGCAGCCGCGGUAAUACGGGGGGGGCAAGCGUUGUUCGGAAUUACUGGGCGUAAAGCGCGCGUAGGCGGCUUUGCAAGUCGGGUGUGAAAUCCCCAGGCUUAACCUGGGAACUGCAUUCGAGACUGCAUUGCUAGAGUAUGGGAGAGGGAAGUGGAAUUUCCGGUGUAGCGGUGAAAUGCGUAGAUAUCGGAAGGAACAUCAGUGGCGAAAGCGACUUCCUGGACCAAUACUGACGCUCAUGUGCGAAAGCGUGGGGAGCAAAC
rnacentral:rRNA from 1 species